AGUUUGAUCCUGGCUCAGGAUGAACGCUGGCGGUCUGCUUAACACAUGCAAGUCGAACGGAGUGCUUCGGCACUUAGUGGCGGACGGGUGAGUAACGCGUGAGAAUCUGCCCUUAGGACGGGGACAACAGCUGGAAACGGCUGCUAAUACCCGAUGUGCCGAGAGGUGAAACAUUUUAUGGCCUGAGGAUGAGCUCGCGUCUGAUUAGCUAGUUGGUGGGGUAAGGGCCUACCAAGGCGACGAUCAGUAGCUGGUCUGAGAGGAUGAUCAGCCACACUGGGACUGAGACACGGCCCAGACUCCUACGGGAGGCAGCAGUGGGGAAUUUUCCGCAAUGGGCGCAAGCCUGACGGAGCAAGACCGCGUGCGGGAGGACGGCCUAUUGGUUGUAAACCGCUUUUGAUAGGGAAGAAGCACUGACGGUACCUAUCGAAUCAGCAUCGGCUAACUCCGUGCCAGCAGCCGCGGUAAUACGGAGGAUGCAAGCGUUAUCCUGAAUUAUUGGGCGUAAAGCGUCCGUAGGUGGUUGUUCAAGUCUGCUGUUAAAGCGUGCGGCUUAACCGCAUACCAGCAGUGGAAACUGGGCGACUAGAGUGCGGUAGGGGUCAGGGGAAUUCCCAGUGUAGCGGUGAAAUGCGUAGAUAUUGGGAAGAACACCGGUGGCGAAAGCGCCUGACUGGACCUGCACUGACACUGAGGGACGAAAGCUAGGGGAGCGAAAGGGAUUAGAUACCCCUGUAGUCCUAGCCGUAAACGAUGGACACUAGGUGUUGCCCGUAUCGACCCGGGCAGUGCCGUAGCCAACGCGUUAAGUGUCCCGCCUGGGGAGUACGCUCGCAGAGUGAAACUCA
rnacentral:rRNA from 1 species